ACUCCUACGGGAGGCAGCAGUGGGGAAUCUUAGACAAUGGGCGCAAGCCUGAUCUAGCCAUGCCGCGUGAGUGAUGAAGGCCUUAGGGUCGUAAAGCUCUUUCGCCAGGGAUGAUAAUGACAGUACCUGGUAAAGAAACCCCGGCUAACUCCGUGCCAGCAGCCGCGGUAAUACGGAGGGGGUUAGCGUUGUUCGGAAUUACUGGGGCGUAAAGCGUACGUAGGCGGAUUAGUCAGUUAGAGGUGAAAUCCCAGGGCUCAACCCUGGAACUGCCUUUAAUACUGCUAGUCUUGAGUUCGAGAGAGGUGAGUGGAAUUCCGAGUGUAGAGGUGAAAUUCGUAGAUAUUCGGAGGAACACCAGUGGCGAAGGCGGCUCACUGGCUCGAUACUGACGCUGAGGUACGAAAGUGUGGGGAGCAAACAGGAUUAGAUACCCUGGUAGGAUAGCG
rnacentral:rRNA from 1 species